UUAGGUGGUUAUAGCGGUGAGGUUCCACCUCUUCCCAUUCCGAACAGAGAAGUUAAGCUCCUCAGCGCCGAUGGUACUGCGAUUGCGGGAGAGUAGGUCGCCGCCUGUU
rnacentral:rRNA from 1 species